rnacentral:rRNA from 1 species
AUUGAACGCUGGCGGCAGGCCUAACACAUGCAAGUCGAGCGAGCGGCGGACGGGUGAGUAAUGUAUGGGGACCUGACCGAUCGAGGGGGAUAACUACUGGAAACGGUGGCUAAUACCGCAUACUACCGGAUGAACCCUUUUGGGAUUAGCUAGUAGGUGGGGUAAAGGCUCACCUAGGCGACGAUCUCUAUCUGGUCUGGGAGGGAGAACAACCACACUGGGAAUGAGACACCGCCCCAACUCCUACGGGAGGCAGCAGUGGGGAAUGUGUGACAAAUGGCGAAAGCCUGAACCAGCAAUACCGCGUGUGUGAAGAAAGCCCUAGGGUUGUAAAACACUUUUGUGAAGGAGAUGGUACCUAAAGAAUAAGCACCGGCUAACUACGUGCCAGCAGCCGCGGUAAUAC